CGGAUACAACCUACUAUAAAAGAUGUCUACAGUAUAUGAAAUAAUUCACAGUUAAAAGAAGAAGAUAAGAAGUCAACAUGCAGUCAGCUGUACUGUGUAUAUGUUUAACUCUACUCAUAGUAGUUAUAAGUUCAGAUGCCCUACGAAUUAGGCCUACAUCACCAACUUACUGUAGACGUCCGGUCUGUAAAACAGAGUGUCCUAAAGGUCGGGAACGUAAUUCACGUGGAUGCUUGACUUGUAGAUGUAAACCCACCAUAAUUCGACCUCCUAAACCAGUGUGCGGACCACUGUGUCGCAUGUACUGCCCAAAUGGUAAUGUUAAGGACUCAAGAGGCUGCCCUAUCUGUAAAUGCAAGCCGGAACGAUGUCCACGGAUUAAGUGUUCAAGACCAUGCUUGUUUGGGAGGUAUGUCAAGAAUUCUAAAGGCUGCCGAACCUGUAGAUGUAGAAGACGUUAUACUCCAAGACAUUAAAGAACAUACAGAAUACAGUGUAACCAAUUGGAUUUAAAACAGGUCCAUCAAUUUGGUUCACGGUAGUAAAGAUAAUGGACGUUACAUAGGGAGAGGAAUAUAUCCGAUGUGAUUUUCAAUUCGUCAUAUCUUUGUAAAUACUGAAUGCAAUUAAAGCGUUUGUCGACAUUUUAUUAUGUCCCUUUAAAGAGAUACAGCUUUCACCAUAUUGUAGUUUGCCAUGGUUUCUACAGCGCUAAAAUCACGCAUAAACAUUUAAAGAUGGGUUCUAUAAGAUGUAGAUAAAGCGGUGACGGUUCUUGUUGUAAUAGAUCCAAAAUAAAUCCAAAAUAAAUCAAAAAUAGAACAUGAAAAAUGAAUAUAUUGAAAAUUAAUUCAGAUUUCACUAUACCGUAGUUUGCAAGGAUUUAUAUAGUGCUAAAAUCACGCAUAACUCUUUAAGGAUGCAUUAUGUAAGAUGUAUAGAUAAAGAACUGGCCGUACUCGCUAUAAUAGAUCCAAAAUAGAUCCUGAAAGAUGAAUAUAGUCAAAUAUUGAAAUUUAAAUUUCAUUCAAAUUAUGACAGUUUGAAGCUGUAGCGUUGAUUGUUUAUUAUGUAGUUUCGAUUUUAUAGUUAAAUUUUGUAAUUUCGCGGGUGUCCAAAUUCAUUUAAAUCUCAGCCAUCCAAUGUUCUAGAGAGUUGAUUAUAGGCUUGUCAUGUAAAUAAAUAUCUAAAUAAGAGUUUAUAUAACAUUUGAAGCCAAAAUAAAGAUCGACAAUAGUCAGAUUUAACUCUUGCAUAAUGCAUCUUUAAGUUAUUUUCACUAAUGUUUUGUGUGUUGUUUACCAUGAUUUUGAUAUUUGUUAUAUUUAUGAUGGUUGCGUUGAAAGUUUUCUAUACUUUGUUCGAUUUUAAUUUUCUAUAUUAAUUUUGGAUUAAAAAGCUUUUGAAUUAUU